UUUGACCGGUAUGAAUGGUGUUACGAAAGUUUUUCUGUCUUAAAAAAAGAUUUAAUGAAAUUGAAUUUGUGGUGAAGAUGCCACAUUAAAAUUGUUAGACGAGAAGUCCCCAUGGAGCUUUACUGAAAGCUUAUUUUAAAAAACUUUUUUUUUAUAAGCAGGACAGUUUUGUUGGGGCGACAGUUUUUUAAAAAGUAACGAAAACGAACUAUGACAAACGUUUCACUUUGAAAGUUUUUAGGAGACAUUAUUGGUGUGUUUUAUGAUCCGUUGUUUUGAAUGAAAAAAAUAACGAAAACAGAUAAAGUUACCCUGGGGAA
rnacentral:rRNA from 1 species